UAAGCGGAGGAAAAGAAACUAACAAGGAUUCCCCUAGUAACUGCGAGUGAAGCGGGAAAAGCUCAAAUUUGGAAUCUGGUGGUCUUUGGCCAUCCGAGUUGUAAUUUAGAGAAGCGUCUUCCGCGCUGGACCGUGCACAAGUCUCCUGGAAUGGAGCGUCAUAGAGGGUGAGAAUCCCGUCUUUGGCAUGGAAUCCCAGGGCUUCUGUGAUGCGCUCUCGACGAGUCGAGUUGUUUGGGAAUGCAGCUCAAAAUGGGUGGUGAACUCCAUCUAAAGCUAAAUAUUGGCGAGAGACCGAUAGCGAACAAGUACCGUGAGGGAAAGAUGAAAAGCACUUUGGAAAGAGAGUGAAACAGUACGUGAAAUUGUUGAAAGGGAAACGCUUGAAGUCAGUCGCGUCGACCGAGACUCAGCCUUGCCUCGGCUUGGUGUACUUCUCGGCUUGACGGGUCAGCAUCGAUUUCAAUCCUCGGAUAAUGGCAAGGGAAAGGUAGCACCUUUUUAGGUGUGUUAUAGUCCGCUGUCGCAUGCGAGGGUCGGGAUCGAGGAACUCAGCACGUACCUCAGGGUGUCGGGGCCUUGGCCCACGUUUACGUGCUUAGGAUGCUGGCGUAAUGGCUUUAAACGACC
rnacentral:rRNA from 1 species